AGUGAACGCUGGCGGUAGGCCUAACACAUGCAAGUCGAACGGCAGCACAGUAAGAGCUUGCUCUUACGGGUGGCGAGUGGCGGACGGGUGCGGAAUACAUCGGAAUCUACUUUUUCGUGGGGGGUAACGAAGGGAAACUUACGCUAAUACCGCAUACGACCUACGGGUGAAAGCAGGGGAUCUUCGGACCUUGCGCGAUUGAAUGAGCCGAUGUCGGAUUAGCUAGUUGGCGGGGGAAAGGCCCACCAAGGCGACGAUCCGUAGCUGGUCUGAGAGGAUGAUCAGCCACACUGGAACUGAGAGACGGUCCAGACUCCUACGGGAGGCAGCAGUGGGGAAUAUUGGACAAAGGGCGCAAGCCUGAUCCAGCCAUACCGCGUGGGUGAAGAAGGCCUUCGGGUUGUAAAGCACUUUUGUUGGGAAAGAAAAGCAGCAGGUUAAUAACCCGCUGUUCUGACGGUACCCAAAGAAUAAGCACCGGCUAACUUCGUG
rnacentral:rRNA from 1 species